GACGAACGCUGGCGGCGUGCCUAAUACAUGCAAGUCGAGCGGACUUGAAGGAGUGCUUGCACUCCUGAGAGUUAGCGGCGGACGGGUGAGUAACACGUAGGCAACCUGCCCUCAAGACUGGGAUAACUACCGGAAACGGUAGCUAAUACCGGAUAAUUUAUUACAUAGCAUUAUGUGAUAAUGAAAGACGGAGCAAUCUGUCACUUGGGGAUGGGCCUGCGGCGCAUUAGCUAGUUGGUGGGGUAACGGCCCACCAAGGCGACGAUGCGUAGCCGACCUGAGAGGGUGAACGGCCACACUGGGACUGAGACACGGCCCAGACUCCUACGGGAGGCAGCAGUAGGGAAUCUUCCGCAAUGGGCGAAAGCCUGACGGAGCAACGCCGCGUGAGUGAUGAAGGUUUUCGGAUGGUAAAGCUCUGUUGCCAAGGAAGAACGUCUCAUAGAGUAACUGCUAUGAGAGUGACGGUACUUGAGAAGAAAGCCCCGGCUAACUACGUG
rnacentral:rRNA from 1 species